AUGAUCACGAAAAACUACCUUAAAAUUUACCUGUGGCAGGUGGGCAUGAGUAAUAAUGAACAUCAAAGUUGAGAAGCACAGAAAACUUCUUUACCACAUUCCUGGAAGAGAACCUCACCUUCCAGACGGUCCUUGCCUUCUCAGGAAACCCUACGAGGCUGGUAGAGGAAGUCAUUAAUGGCCGCACCAUGCAGGCUUCUGCAUUCAGCCAACAGAUGUUAGAAGUGGCUCUUCUCCUCUCUCCUUAGCAGUCUUGAUGGAAUCCGGACUUUCCACCAAGCUGGGACCAUCGACCACUAGCAGCUGCCUUGCUCACUGGCUGGGUGAACAGAGGUGGUGGCAGGUGGUGGCAGGGUGAGGUAGGACACGUGCCCUCAGCUCUGUGUCCCGAGGACCCUAUUGGCUGCCUGCUCCCUGUGGGCAGGCAUGCAGAGCACUGAAUGGCUUCCUCACAUCUCUCUCCCCGGACCCCGGCCAACAUGUGACUUGGAGCUCCGAGUCUAGCCUUCAUCCUGCUUACUAUGGUGAGACUUUUGUUUGAAGGUUAUGCAUGUUUGGGGGGAAGUGUGGAGGGGCACAAGGAAAGAGGACCUGGAAUCCUGGCCAGCUUUUUAUUUUACUUUUCCUUUCCUGUCUCUGUCCUGCUUCGUCCUGUCAGAAAUGUUGAAGAGGCAGAAUUCUUAGAUCAGAGGAAGAAAGUGUAGGACAGAAGGUCUUCUGGGGAUUCGCAUACACCUAGGGCACACACACACACAACAGGAAGAACUCUGAAAGAAACCCCCUUACAUCAUGCAUCCUCCCCACUGUGCAACACCCCCCCCUCAGUCACUCUCAGCUUCUAGAAAUAGAAGCGGCCUGCCAUUGCCCUUCAAAGCAAACCACCCUGUGACGGCAGCCUCAUCAAGCCGUAACUUCCAGAUCAAUAACUAUCAUUCUCCCUGCCUCUGCUCUUCCUGAGAGUUCAAAACAGAGUCUCAUUUGCUAUCUUCCUCAAGCAGUUAAGAUGCAAGCAGGCAACAACAGGGAGAUUGAUUCUUUUCUCAUUCAAGAAGAGAAUAAGGACCCUAGGUCACCCAGCACAUUGACUAUUAUGCUGGUUUGAAUCUAAAAUGUCCUCCAUAGCCUCAAGUGUCUCCCCAGCUGGUUGAGCCUUUGGGAGGUGGAACCUUGCUGGAGGAGGUGUGUCACUGGGGUGUGUUGGGAUUAAGUUAAUAGUCCAGUCCACUAGAUGUUCAGAGCCAUCUUGCUCUGACUUCUCACUCUUGCUGCUGAAAUAAAAAGAGGUGAUCCAGUUGAUAAUGAAACUUCACCUCAAAGCUAUAUAAGCCUGAAGUAAGCCCUUUCUGUGGUUGUUUGGUUGUAAAUGUGUGUCCCCCCCA